rnacentral:rRNA from 1 species
AUUGAACGCUGGCGGCAGGCCUAACACAUGCAAGUCGAACGAGUGGCGGACGGGUGAGUAAUGUCUGGGAAACUGCCUGAUGGAGGGGGAUAACUACUGGAAACGGUGGCUAAUACCGCAUACCAUCAGAUGUGCCCAUAUGGGAUUAGCUAGUUGGUGGGGUAAAGGCUCACCAAGGCGACGAUCCCUAGCUGGUCUGAGAGGAUGACCAGCCACACUGGAACUGGGACACGGUCCAGACUCCUACGGGAGGCAGCAGUGGGGAAUAUUGCACAAUGGGCGCAAGCCUGAGACAGCCAUGCCGCGUGUAUGAAGAAGGCCUUCGGGUUGUAAAGUACUUUCAGCGGGGAGGCGUUACCCGCAGAAGAAGCACCGGCUAACUCCGUGCCAGCCGCCGCGGUAAUAC